rnacentral:rRNA from 1 species
GGUUAGCAAUAAUUCGGCGGUCUUUUCGGCGUACGGGUGAGGAAAAAAUGGGUAACCUGCCCUCGAGUCCGGGAUACCCUCUCGAAAGGGAGGCUAAUGCUGGAUACGUUCCCUGGGGCGCAAGACCUGGGGAGGAAAGGUAGCGAAAGCUGCCGCUCUUGGAGGGGCUCGCGGCCUAUCAGCUAGUUGGUGAGGUAACGGCUCACCAAGGCUAUGACGGGUAGCUGGUCUGAGAGGACUUACCAGCCACACGGGAACUGAGACACGGUCCCGACUCCUACUGGAGGCAGCAGUGGG